CAUUCUCUCUGAGCCUCUUUACUGUGUCACCACCACGCUCGAUGCUGGGCACAAGGACCACUACUUCUUUAACAGGCAUUCUCUCUGAGCCUCUUUACUGUGUCACCGCCACGCUCGAUGCUGGGCACAAGGACCACUACUUCUUUAACAGGCAUUCUCUCUGAGCCUCUUUACUGUGUCACCACCACGCUCGAUGCUAGGCACAAGGACCACUACUUCGAUGCAGACCAGAAACAGAGUUGACGUGAAAUGUUACAUACACAGCUGGACAAGAUGGAAAAGGACACAGUGACAGUGGGCACCGGGGAAGAGAGGCCACAGACAGACAGAGCUGAAACUUCACUGCUUGACAUGUAUGAUGAAAUCCUGGAUGAGAAUUAAACGACUGAACAAACCAACAACGAAACAGCACAGCAAAGAGAGAGAGCGAGAGAGCGAGAGAGAGCGAGAGAGAGAGAAGAGGAAAGGAACAACUGCAGUGCUACUCGAAGUGAAAGAAGGAAUGAAGGAUUGAAAAAAGGGAGACAUGAGCUCCACAUGCAGGCCCACGUGCUGACACCAACCAAUCACGGCUCGCGCCCUCAUGCACGCUCUUUGCACGUGCACCCAGCAGCACUGGGAUGACUCUCUCAGGUUUGGAUGUCCCCGUCGUCUGAGCACCGAGUCUCCUUUCCCUCUGCAUUCCCGCCUGUCUCCAGACCCCCAUAGCCUCGUCGAUGUCUACGUAUCACCAUUCCAGUCCAUGCAAGUGAUGCUAACCACAUGACCACAGUGGAAAAGAAUGCUUCUCCCAGCGUGACCAAUGAGAAGUCUCAGCCACAGGAAGCUGCUGCCAGCUGACCAGACCGCCCACACGGUC